rnacentral:lncRNA from 1 species
GUGUCAGUGUACCUGUACUAGAUGACAACAAUGGCUGCUGCCAAUCUCAGUCUCCAGAGAGGUCUCACCACUCACUGAGAUGUACUCAGAGCCUAUCAGGACUUUGAGCUUACCAGUGCACUAUCUUCUGGCCUCCAAGUUACUGAUGAGAAAUCUGCUGAUAAUCUCACUGAGGAUCCCAUUAGAUUUCUGAAGAUAAAGAACUCCUUAAAAAGCCAAGAUUUCUUCACUUUGAUUGUUCCCUGGAAAUGUGAAGUGUAUCUCUGUUUAUCUACGCACAGCCUCCCCAGGUCCUCCCUGAUGAUGAGCGGCAUCUAGGAAUGUCCCACACAAACCCACAGGCGCUGUUUGCACUUCUUCCAGAAUGGCAGGCCUCUACUAGGAGAGCUCUGUGUAGAUCUGUUUGAGAACUUCAGUGGCAAACAUCCUCUCAUUCUCUGCCUGCCUCUCUGUUUACAGCAAUA